rnacentral:rRNA from 1 species
GAUGAACGCUAGCUACAGGCUUAACACAUGCAAGUCGAGGGGUAACAAGAGAAAAGCUUGCUUUUCUUGUUGACGACCGGCGCACGGGUGAGUAACGCGUAUCCAACCUGCCUAUAACUAGGGAAUAACCUUGCGAAAGUAAGACUAAUACCCUAUGAUUUCCUUUGAUGGCAUCAGAUUAGGAAUAAAGAUUUAUCGGUUAUAGAUGGGGAUGCGUCUGAUUAGCUUGUUGGCGGGGUAACGGCCCACCAAGGCAACGAUCAGUAGGGGUUCUGAGAGGAAGGUCCCCCACAUUGGAACUGAGACACGGUCCAAACUCCUACGGGAGGCAGCAGUGAGGAAUAUUGGUCAAUGGGCGGAAGCCUGAACCAGCCAAGUAGCGUGCAGGAUGACGGCCCUAUGGGUUGUAAACUGCUUUUAUACAGGAAUAAAGUUAGCCACGUGUGGUUAUUUGUAGGUACUGUAUGAAUAAGGACCGGCUAAUUCCGUGCCAGCCGCCGCGGUAA